rnacentral:tRNA from 1 species
GUCCUUGUAGAGCCACGGAUAGCUCGUUGAACAACUAAUCCAACGGUCGAGGGUUCAAAUCCCACCUAGGAUG